CUUUCCCCCACCAGACCCUCCUCUGCCUUCUCUUCCUUCACCACACGUCCCGCCCCACCUUACGGCCCCACAUCACCGCUCGACACCGCUUGCUGCCGCAGCGGAGGGGAUGCAUCUCGUGGCGCAGCGAUGUCCACCGGCGCGGCUCAUCUUCAUGGCCGUCGCGAGGCUGGUGGCCGCUCGAUUCACUCUCGCAGCCUCCCGCGCCCAUGCCUCGCCGGCGCGGCUUGCCUUCGCCCCGUCCCGACGGCAGGGCCGACGCCGCGGAGGUGGACGAGAUGAAAGAGCCGACGGUGGCGGCGGGGAAGGCGUGACGGAGGGGAAGGCGAGCUGUUGCGCCGCAAGAGGCUCCUCCAGGCCGCCGCCGACAAGCGCGACGAGGCCCGUAGCAGGGAGGGCUGCGCCAGGCAGCCGUCGAAUCGGCCGCCUUGCCGCCAGCGACCAUGGGCCGUGAGGAAGUGUCGCGUCACGGGGAGGACUCCGCCACGCCGCCGUCGAUGAGCUCGAGGAGAUAGCGCGGCGCGGGAGGGCUGCACAAGGCCACGCCGCCGUCGACUCCACCACGCUGUGAAGAGCAGCGGUAUUUUUUUCGCGUGCGCCGAGGCGGGCGGCAAGAUCUAUGUCAUCAGCGGCCGCAACAUGCUGAAGAAUGCGCUCAAGACGGUGGAGGCAUCCGACGCGGUGGCCUCCUCCCUCUUGCCCCUCUCGGAUCCGCAGCGAGCAGGUAAGUGCAGCCCGUGCGACCUCGCCUCCCAAACGCACGGCUCGCCGCUCUACCUCGCUCCAGUGGCCGUCCUUCUUUUCUUUCAGAUUCCAGUUCCGGAGAUGCAACAUCUCCCGUCACCGCUCCCUCUUCAUCGUUGGAUAAUGCCCUGACUGAGUUCAGAUGAAUCAAUUUGUAGCGUGGAGACUACUUUGCUUCUUUCUUCACGGUAUACAUAUGCCUAUUGUGUUCUCUUAAUUUAACUUUUCUCAUAUUCUUUGCAGUUCCUGUUUUUGUCCGUGACCUGGAUUCGUUUUCCCGUUUCAAUCGAGCGUCCAUCGAUGCCUGCUUAGGCCAGGAAAGAAAAGACGCAUGUUUCGUUGGUUGAGGAUGUGCCAUCCUAAGCUAUUUGGCUAUUGGUCUUUUAACUGUGAUUCAAAGAUUCAUGUACAUCUCAAGAUAAAAUAUGAAGCUAUAACUCUUAUGCAUGCUCAGGUUUGGUGUUUCAGCAUCUCAGUCAUCUUUUGACAAAGAGAUCGCGCAAGGAAAAGAGAAGCAAACUCACCACAAUUCCAGUAAACAUGCAGGAUUGAAGGAUGAGAUAAAGAGAAGAAAAAACCUGUCGGUUUCUCUUCCUCACUCCACACAACGGGUGGACCUGCGGCCAUGGAGUCUGGAUGUCGCUGCGGCUCCAUUGACCCCGUGGUCGACUUCGCCG